CAGCAAAACGCGGAAAUACUGGAUCAGAACAGCAUGAGCUCUUCAGAUAACAACACUUCUAUGGAUAUAUCUGAGCCAGAAAACAAAAAGAAAAAGCAAAACAAUGAGUCAGGAACAGGACCCACAGGAUCAUGGGCUGAGAAGUUGAUGAAAUGCCCAACCUGUAAAGCAGAGUUUGCUCCUUCUGUCACGUUCUGUAAGGAGAUAAAUGACCACUAUAAACUUAAUAUUGGUCUGCACCAGGACAAUGAAGAUGACCUGCAUGAUGAUUUCAAGGAAAAGUUAGACUGGACAAACAAGGCUAAAGUUACCAGCAAAGAGAUGCAAUGUCCCAACUGUAAAGACAGUUUUCCUGUAAGACACAGUGUUUCUAGCUGGACUAAUAAGAUGGGUGGAUUCAACAUUGAGUUCUCCUUUAAUAUUUCUAAGGUAAGCUGUUAGGUAUUUUCCUUGAACCUACAAUAAAAUAACCACAGACAACGUAUAUGAAUUAAAUAUGGUCAGGCUUCUGCAGAAGGAGAAAUCCCGAUCAACAGCUCCUCCGGGCUGGUCAAAAGAGAGUUCUGAUCUGCUUUCACGUGAGCUCCCUCUUUAUUGUCAAAGCAUCAAACAACAGAGGUCGUAAAACAUUUAACACAAACAGACCAACAACUCAGUUCCAGGUGUGAUAUCUAAUUUACAAUCUGAGCCCAGUUCAGCUCUGGGUCAAACUGUCACCUAAGACCGGGUAGAUAAACACCAGAGAAAACUUUAGGGUCUGAGAACCAUAAAGUUUUACUAUCUCGCAUGAAGACAGUCGUAACCUCCAGGUCAGUUUAUACUAAAAUCACAAUAAUACUUUAGACUGAAUAUAAACUAAAGUAACAACAAAAUGAUAAUGUUAAAAAAUAUCUAACAUAAGCUAAGAUGACUAGUCAGCUUUCUUUAGUCAGAAUUUUCUCUGUGCAGAGCAGGUGAUUUUAAACAUCAGAGUUCAUAGAUCUAUGUAUGUAGAGCUGAACACAAAGUUUUUACAGUUUAUCUUCUGUUGCCUGUGUAGAGCUCCUGUCUGUCUAUUACAAUUUGUUUUUUCCAUCAAAGGGGCUAAACCAGUGUGGAAUUGCCGACAGAGACUUUUCUGUCAACAAGAAAAUCUAAAUAUUUUGAUUAGAACUUGCAUGAAGAAGAUAACUGACACAAAUAUUAGGAGAUGAAAUUCAGUCAGAUCUAGUUGUAGUUAGAAGGAUAUUAUACAUAAAAUAUCAGAUAAAAUUUUUCUUCUUAAAAAGUAGGAAGCGAAUAAAGAUUUAAGUUCAGUGUCAAGUGUUGGUCAAGUGUUACCAGAGCAAUAAAAUAUGAAAAACAAAUGGAUUGGGUGCCCAGAAUUACUUCUCACUAAUAUUGAAUGUGAACAUAUUGUUCUUAUGAUGGAGGUUGUGGUGUGAAGGUACAUGAGUGUCUUCUAAAAACUUACCAUUCAGUCCUUUUGCAGCUGAAAAGAUGUAUUGAAUGGAUGCAAUGUUUAUGUACAGGACUUAGAGAGCAAAGCUAUAAUUGGAUACACAAUUUUAAAAAGCAGAGGUGACUCUCAACUACCUCUAAACUCAAAAGUGUGAGAACAUUAAAGUUUAUCUACAGUGAUAAUGGGGAAUGAGAGGGGACUAAAUGAGAUCUCUGGAUCAGAAUUAUUCAUGUUAUUAGUAAUAAUUAAACAACUCCAAGCCAAAUGUCCUCACACACAGUGAGAAAAAAAAUCAGCUUGUUUUCCAAAUUUAGCUCAUUAAGCAUUUAAUCCACAUAAAUUCUGUGAAGAUUUUAGGAUAAAUUUCUUCUGAUGCUUUUAUGCUACAUUCAGUUAAAACUCAUACACUUGACUGUCUAAAAAUAAAAAAAAGACAUAUAGUUUUUUUUUCUUCUUUGCUAAUAAUACCACAGUCCUAUUCUAAAGAUGGCCUUUCCUGUGUCAGGCCAUCUUUGCCCAGCAAAUAAUCUACAUUCAAUUGAAUCAUCAACAUUCAAUGUAUAGCUUUAUUCUUACAUGUUUUUUUCUGGAUGUUUCUUCUGUGUGUAGGACAACAAGCCAGAAGGGGCGACUGCGGAAACAUCAUCUGCAAUGGUGAACAACUUGGGUAAGUCAACAAAGUUUUAUUUUGGUAACUGUUGCAAACAUAAGUUAACUUAUAUAUUUUAUUUUCUUACAUACAUGAUUAUAAACAUGGUGAUGUCACACAGUACCUUGUGUUACAGAUGCUGAUAGUUAUUCUGAGUAUUAUAGAUUCAUUCCAGUACUUAUUGAGUCAUGAUAAGUUUGUGUUGCACUGGCGACAACAUGCUUGUUAUUAUUGGAUCCCACAUUAUGUUUAGUUUCAGUUUCUGCUGCAGCUCUGAAAGAAACUUUCUUUAUUUUUUUCAAAUACCAGAAUAUGAGACCAAUAACUCUUCACUACGGAGUCGUGUGAGUGGUGCUUUUUCUUAUCUGACAGAUAAACUAACAACUCUAAACAAACCUGAGAAAUCAAAUCAACCCACUAGCAGCAGAGGAUGGUUUAUUCCAACUCCAGUGGUGAAGGUCCACUGUACUCUUACCAGUGAUACUUUUGGUGCUGAUGCUGCCAUAAUGAAACAAUUGAAGAACAACUUAAAGUCAUCAGUGCAUUUGGAAGAAACAACCAGGAGGAACUGCAGCAUCAUCAUUGUCUUCUGUCCAGUCAGUAGCAGUUAUGAAUCAGAAGUAAAGUCUGCCAUGGAAAAAGAAGGAGUCUCAUCAUCUGGUAAACUGUUCAUUCUGGUUCUGAUGCAUCACACCAGAGACCUGGACUAUUCCACUGCAGGAUGUGACACCUCUGAAGUGCUGAAAAAUGUGUUUUAUGUCCAUGUUUUUUACCAUGAGACUGCAAAAGGAUUACUGAAAUGUUCACAAAAUGACCAAGCAAUCAAGUUAAUUGAAGACAAACUUCUCUCCAAGACAUAGAGAGCUUCUGCUUUCUGCCAGUUUUGUUUUAAGUACUUUAAUAUAUCAAUACUUUUCAGCAGAGACCACAAUAGCGUAUUAUUAUUUGAUGAUGGAAUAACAAAGGAAAAACUUGGAUUUACUGAGCUUCAGACUGUAAACAGCAGUUUUUUCUUCCAUGUGUCUUCAAUUCUGUUUUUUCUGAAUGUUUUUCUCUACUAGAAUGUAUUUUAUAACGAACUACAAGUUUGUUCUGAUUCGAGGGAAGAUUUGGGCCGAAACUACCGUAAUUAGCAAAUAAAAGAAAAAAAGAACAGAAGAUAGACAGGUGUGCAGAAAAUGUUCUGGUCUGGGUUUGUUCCCCUGUUUAUUUCAUCCUGUAAGACUGAAGUCAGUUUCCUGUUUGCUGGAUGAACUUCCUGUGAUGUAAUCCCACUCCUCUUCUCAUACCCACUUAUGCAGAAGGUUCCAAUUUUUUCCUCAACCUCAAACUGAGAAACUCAAAAUGUUAUUCAGCUUUGAAAAAUAAAAACAGUGGAAAUAAAUGAUGUAGAACAUGUAGAUUUUCUACUGGAUUAGGAUGAUUAGAUCUUAUUUGUAUGCAUUUUAAUUGCAGAUGUUGUUACUGGAACGUACCACCAAUAAGUGUCAUGUUUAAUGUUGGUUGGUUUUCAUUACACCUUUACUGACAGACAAAACAUCGCUGAAUAAACAGAAUAAUUAUUUGUUUCA